rnacentral:rRNA from 1 species
GAGGAACACGUGGAGAACCUGCCCUUCACAGGGGGAUAACAGUUGGAAACGACUGUUAAUACCGCAUAUGCUCACAGUGCCGCAUGGCACAGGGAGGAAAGCCGAGACGGUGAAGGAUGGCUCCGCGCCGGAUUAGCCAGUUGGCGGGUAACGGCCCACCAAAGCGAUGAUCCGUAGCCGGCCUGACGAGGGCGACCGGCCACAUUGGGACUGAGACACGGCCCAAACUCCUACGGGAGGCAGCAGUGGGGGAUAUUGCACAAUGGGGGGAACCCUGAUGCAGCCGACGCCGCGUGAAGGAGGAAGUGCUUCGGCAUUGUAAACUUCUAUCAGCAGGGAAGUAAGAUGACGGUACCUGCACAAGAAGCCCCGGCUAACUACGUGCCAGCAGCCGC